rfam:Chelonobacter oris strain 1662 contig000009, whole genome shotgun sequence.
UCCUGAUAUGCUGUUUGAGUAUCCUGAAACGGGCUUUUCAAGAUCAGCAUAUCAAUUAACUUUAAGUAAAUAGGAGUGCAUAGUGGCCCGUAUUGCAGGCAUUAACAUUCCUGAU